rnacentral:lncRNA from 1 species
CAUCUUGUUUAGUCCAAGUAGAACCUCCAUCUGAUUUACCCCAGGAAGCUCUUCUAUUGUCAUCUACACCACUUGGUUUCUUCCAACUGUCAUUCUGAUUCUCAUUAAUAAAAGCAGGUUUUGUCCAGCCACUUGCUUCAUCUUUGUUUCCUGCCUCUGAUUGGGCCCAAACCCCAUCUGCAUUACCCCAGCUUCCUAUCUGAACAUGCGGACUCACCAUUGGCACAUAAAGCGGAGCAUCAUUCAAUGAUCUUGGUGCAGACCAUGGUGCUGCUGUUGAUGACGAUGCACCUUGUAAUGAUGCGGAUCCGCCAUUACCACAUCCAGAUGGGGGUUCAGAUUCUCUUGCAGCUGUAGGAUCAGGGUGAUUAAACCUGCAGUUUGUACCAAACAUGCAGGAGGCAUUUCGCAUAUAGAAGGAACAGUCUUUCUCCCCCUGUAACAAGUUAAAAUAAAUAUUCAGGUAGCACACCAAUAAAAUAAGCAAAGAUAAAUCAUAAAUCUUAAACAUCAUGAAUAGAUAUUCAUUCCUCAAAAUUUUGCAGAUCAAACCUAGAAUUCAUACCGGUCGAAUUGGCAGGCCCAGAAAGUUACAUUCUGGAAUUGGAGCUACGGAAGGUUCCCCUCUUCCGGGAUUUAAACUACAAGCUUUUUCAUAUUUACGUCCUCCUGACCUGGAAUAAUCCUGCAACAAGCUCAAGUGUUAUACCCCAUCAUCAAAACACAAAAAACUACUUAAUACCAAAUAUAUGAAGUAAAACAAAAUCUAGACAUGAGGAACAAACAAUUGCAGUAAAAACCAUAACUUGAGAUAGAAAGUUUCUGAGAAAUCAUAACGAAAAUAACCUUGCAUUCGGUCUGGCCUGGCUUCUCUGCUGCCAACCCGUCCCUUUCCUUCAUCUUGUCCUUGGACACCUUCAAUUAAUAUGAUAAUCAGUCUCAAUCUUCCAACCAGAAACAUAAAUAUGCAAAUGCUGAAGGAAAAAGAAGAGAGAUAUACCUGAUUGUUAUAAAGCUCAUCAUGGACGUCUGGGUCGAAUUUUCGAAUCUUAUCAAGCAGGGCAGGGUCGAGUUUCCGAAUUUUAUCAAGGCGGGCAUCAAGUUUCCGAAUCUCUUCAAGGAUGGCAAGAUCGAGAUCAGAGAGUUCAGCAUUUGGCGGAACGUCGGGAUUUGGGAGGCCGAUGGGAGCUGUCAACAUCACUGCUGAUCGUGUUUUUGAUGAAGGAAGCUGGGUUGCUGGGUUUGCUUACACCCUGCAGUGCCAGUCACAUAUCAUCACACAUCUGAUUACCACGGCAUUGAAUUCGAGUUUGAUUCCCUUCCCUUUAGUUUUGGCUUGUGGAAAUUGGGCCAGUGUUUUGAUUGGUAAAAUCAAAGUCACCUGCUUUUUCCUUUUCUCUUUCCGUCCUGAAUUUUUCUUCGUCUCGAAGAAAAACUCACGACAGGAAACAUUGUGGACUUGAACCUUCUCCUUCAAUCACAAACACCAACCUCCUUUAUGUGUUAUUUGUUUGAGUUGCUUAAUUUCACUGACCUAUUACCAAAAAAAAUUCAAACCCCAUUUACCAAGCCCAAAACCAAAGUAUGAUAUCCUUCUUAGUAAAGUUAUACCUAAUUUGUAUUUAAAAGAAAACCCCCUCUCUAUCCCUUGUUGGCGGUAGUUUUGGUUUUGGAGGGACUAAAAAGUUAUCCAUUACAGAAGUGGCCAAUUGAAGAUACUCGGGAAGUUAUCCAUUCCAUCAAGUUCUCACAUCUGAAACUGAAAGGCCUGUGGCAGCUGGGAUAAAAAGUUUGAUACAUUUCCAAGACUAAAUAACAUAAAAGGAGUUGCAUGUCCUUGGUGAUGCGAAUCCUGUGCUCUAGCAUCCAUUUCAGUUUUCAUGCAAAACUUAUUACAGUGGCUGCGACUGAUUGUAGCAUCAGUUCUACUUCUACUUCCAGAUGUUCCCUGCCCCAUUUGUAGUCGCCGGGUAGCAGAAGGGAAGUUGAUAACGACGGAUGGUCAAAUUUACAAGCUGGCCCAGAAUUGCAAAUGCCAUAGGUACUGUAUUGUGUGCAAAUGUUCUAGCCCUGGAUUUGAAACAAAUUUGGUAUUAAAAAAAAUUGUGAUCAAUGACAUGCACUAAUAAAGCGUAAUAUGUGAUCAAAGAUAGGCUCUCAUAGUUAGUCAAGAAUCUUUAUGUUGAAUACAAAGGACUGGUAAUGAACAUUUUCGUGGUGCACAUUGCUAAUUUAUCCAAAGGAAGCUAAAAAUUUGCAAAAUUUUGAACUUCCCAAUUAUUCCAUUACUUAAAAAAAUUGUGCAACAGCAACUUGUUUGAUCCUAUUCCAUAAUUAUGUAUGCACUUAAAAAAAAACACACAAUUCAAAGAAGAGUGAACUUACUGGUCUCAAAGGGAGGCCUAUGUCACUCAGUGCACAUGAGGGGAACAAUGCAGUCUGAUUUUUUGGAUGGUGAUAUUUGCAAUUAGAUAUAAACUUACAAUCCCCUGUUCUUGAGAAGUAAAUGCAAGCAGGUUGCCCAGGUCGUUCUGGGAGUUGUUCAACUUGCUUCUGCUGUGGAUGUUGUUCAUAGGCGUUAGUUUCAGUUACAAUCCCCUGUUCUUGAGAAGUAAAUGCAAGCAGGUUGCCCAGGUCGUUCUGGGAGUUGUUCAACUUGCUUCUGCUGUGGAUGUUGUUCAUAGGCGUUAGUUUCAGUUACUGAGUAGUUCAUAACAUAUGGUGGGGGGCAGGCAUGCUUCUUUCUGGAAGAUAUUCUAAAGCCUAAACCUGGCACAACCAAAAAAAAAAAAUUGAAAUGAAAACCAUGCAUGCGAAAAUGCAAAAGAGAUGCCCAUGGCAGUUGAAUAUGGCAAAUGUCAUAGCUAUGGUAUUGUGUGCAAAUGCUCUGACGCAGGGAUUUGAAACAAAACUUGUGUGAUCAAUGGCAUUGAAUAAUGAAGCGUAAUAUGUGAUCAAACACAGGCUCUCAGAGUCAUAGUUAGUCAAGAAUCUUUCUGCUGAAAGAGAAAAAAAAAAAAAAAAGACACGUCCACAACUUUCACUACAAUCUCUUCCCAAGGUCAAAUUUGUGUCAGCAAUGAACAUUUUCGUGGCACAUUGCUGAUUUAUCCAAAGGAACAUAAAAACUUGCAAAAUUUUGAGUUGUCCAAUUAUUCCGUGUUUUUAAAAAAAAAAAAUUGCGCAACAGGUACUUGUUAGAUCAUAUUCCAUAAUUAUGCAUUCACUUUGAAAAGCACAAUUCAAAGAAGAGUGAACUUACUGGUCCCAAAGGGAGGCCCUUGUCACUCAGGACACUGCAGUGUGAUUGUUUGGAUACUGAUAUUUGCAAUUAGAUCGUUCUGGGAGUUCUUCAACUUGCUUCUGCUGUGGAUGUUGUUCAUAGGAAUUGGUCUCAGUGACUGAGUGAUUCAUAACAAAGGGUGGAGGUGCAGACAUGCUUUUUUUUGGUAGAUAUUCUGGAGCCUAAACAUAGCACAACCAAAAAAAAUAAUUGAAGGGAAAAACAUGCAUGCGAAAAUGCAAAAGAGAUGCUCAUGGAAGUUGAAUAUUGUGAAUGACAUAGCUAUGGUAUUGUGUGCAAACGUUCUGACACUGGUAUUUGAAACAAAGUUAGUACAAAAUUUGUGUGAUAAAUGGCAUGAUAUAAUUAAGUGUAAUAUGCGAUCAGGCUCUCAUAGUUAGUCAAGAAUCUUUAUGUCGAAAGAGACAUGUUGGUUUUCCUCACCAAAAAAAUUAAAAAAAAGAGACAUGUCGACAACUUUCACUACAAUCUCUUCCCAGGGUCAAAUUUGUAUUAGUAAUGAUUACUUUCGUGGUACAUUGCCAAUUUAUCCAAAGGACGCUAAAACUUUGCAAAUUUUUGAAAUUUCCAAUGAUUCAAUCACUUAAAAUAUUGUACAGCAGGUACUUGUUAGAUCAUAUUCCAUAAUUAUGUAUUCACUUUAGAAAGCACAAUUCAAAGAAGAGUGAACUUACUGUUCUCAAAGGAAGGCCAUUGGCACUCAGUGCACACGAGGGGGACACUGCAGUCUGAUUUUUUUGGAUGGUGAUAUUUGCAAUUAUAUUUAAACAUACAAUCCCCUGUUCUUGAGAACUAAAUGCAAACAGGUUGCCCAGGUCGUUGGAGGAGUUUUUCAACUUUCUUCUGCUGUGGAUGUUGUUCAAAGGUGUUGGUUUCAGUCACUGAGUGGUUCAUAACAUAGGCGAGUUGCAGGCAAGAUUCUUUCUGGUAGAUAUUGUGGAGCCUAAACAUUGCACAACCAAAAACAUUUGAAGGGAAAACCAUGCAUGCGAAAAUGAAAAAGAGAACAGUAGUACUCCUAUUAUACUAGUUGAAUGCACGCGAGAGAGGGAGAGAGAGAGAGAGAGAGAGAGAGAGAGAGAGAGAGAGAGAGAGAGAGAGAGAGGUCAUAUUACUAGUUUCAUGAGAAAAAUGAAUAAAAAAUAACAUAGAACAAAAAGGUUAACACAAAAAAGAUUUAUUUGAAAUCUUAUCCCUUAAGAAAUGUUAAUUGGUGUAUCAAAGUGAGGAUAGUUAGUCAAACUGAAGACUAUAAUACGGGAGUGAUGAAUAAAAGUACCUGAACCAUUCCAUUCUGUAUUUUAGGAAGGAAUCCCUUUGAUAUGGUGGAAUCAUCAUCUUUUUUAAGAAAAGCUUGAACGUUGACAAAGGGAUAGUUAAGCCAAGAUUGGGGUUCAUCCAAAAUUUCAACCAUUGUCAAUAGAUACGGGGGUUUAAGUUAAGAUCCUUCUAGCUCUGUAAAAGACAAAGCAGUAUCUACACCAUUUAAGUUAAAACCCUAAUUCUUUGAGGAGGUGAUUUGAUCACCACCCUCCUUUGCUACUUUCACCAUCAGAACACUUGCCCCAAGAGCUUGCUACUGCUGCUUUGCCCCAUGAAUUAGUCGGUUUUGCACCUUCAUCAGUUCCUUGUGCCUCACCAGAUUGAUUCCAACUAGAGGAUUGACCCCUGCUUGCAGCACUUGAUUGCUUCCAGUCAGAUGAUUGACCUCCAACAGCAGCACUUGGUUGCUCUCCGGUACCGCCUCCAAAUCCUGAACCUGUUCCUUUGUUCCAACCUGAACCCUGGUUGCCCCAGCCCCCAGCUUGUGCGUUUGAGCUCGGUCCCUUGUUCCAGCCGCCGUCUUGAUCAGUGUUUCCUUUGAAUUCUUUGGCUGCAGUCGAUUGUUUCCACCUAGACGAUUGGUCCCCAUUAGAAGCAUCUGAUGAUUUCCAAUUGUUUCCCCAGCUUGUGCCCACUUCAUUAUGAGAACCUGUUCCCUUGUCCUGAGUGCCAGCAGUAUAUUUAGCCUCCACUGUCUGAUUCCAACCUGAUCCCGAACCACCAAUUUCUUUAGUCACAUCAGACUGGUUCCAACCGGAGCUCUGGUUACUCCAUCCGCUAGAGUUCCUACCCUGCCAAUCGUUCUUACUGCCAUGGUUCCAACUUCCUCCGCCUUUGUCCCUUCUCCAUCCCUCGCCAGCACCGUCUGCCCCUUUGCUCCAGCCUGAUGAGUUAUUAUCAAUAGAUUCAUUUCUAUUGCUGCAACCACCACUUUGAUACCUCCCACGGCCUCUUCCUCCAUAGCCUCUACCACCAAACCCUCCUUUGUCUGAUCUACCUCUACCACCAAAGCUCCCUCUGUCUCCACCUCUACCACCAAAACCCCAUCUACGUCCAAAACCCCCUCUAUCCUCCUCUCUAUCACCACCUCUACCUACAAAACCCCGUCCACCUCUAAAACCUCCUCUGUCUGAAUUUCCUCUACCUGAACCACCUCUCCAAUUCCCACCACUUCGAUUAUUAUUGAAAUCCUCAGGUUGGUCUCCAUUCACACCAUCUAUUGAUUGACUGCCACCAAAAGAACUUGCCCUCUUCCAACCAUUAUCUUGAUUCCCCACUCUGCCAGACUCAUGUCCUGCUGUUACAUCAGCUUGUUUACCCCAUGAAGACCAUCCAGCUUGUUUACUCCAAUAAGAAUCUCCUGCUGGUUUAUUCCAAGCAGAACUGCCAUCUUGUUUAUUCCAAGUAGAACCUUCACCUUGUUUAUUCCAUGUAGGAUCUCCAUCUUGUUUAGUCCAAGUAGAACCUCCAUCUGCUUUACCCCAGGAAGCUCUUUUAUUGUCAUCUACACCACUUGGUUUAUUCCAACUGUCAUUCUGAUUCUCAUUAAUAAAAGCAGGUUUUGUCCAGCCACUUGCUUCAUCUUUGUUUCCUAACUCCGAUUGGGCCCAAACCCCAUCUGCAUUACCCCAGCUUCCUAUCUGAACAUGCGGACUCAC